rnacentral:lncRNA from 1 species
UUCCAGUCCUGGUACCCAUAUCAGGUGGUGCACUAUGGCCUAUAAGCUCAGUUCCAGGGGGUCUGAUGCCUUCUAGGCUCUGCAGGCCUCUGCACACAUGUGGUGCAUAUACACUUAAACAGGCGUGCAUGCGCAAACACACAUGAACAUGUGCGCACACACACACACACACACACACACACACACACACACACACACACACACACGGUCUUUCUGCAAUCACCAGAGAAAUAAGGCUGGACUGGGCUGCCAGGGCCAUUUUGGUAGAUGCUGUGCUGUGCGGUGACGUCACACCUGCCUGACUCCUUCGUAGUGGCAGGACUAGAGGAAUGGGUGGCAGUUGACCCCACAAAAUCCUGAUCGCGCUGCUACCCCAAGCCACAUCCCUCAUUAACACCGAGCACUGAACACCGCCCUCUCUUGUCUCCUGCCCUUGUCCAAUAUGCCUUUCCCACCUGGCCUUCUUACCCCUCCCCCAUCUUGGUGGCCUGUCACUAGCCCACAGAGAGUCAAGCUGGCGUCCUGCCUUCCGGGGAGCCCAGUUCUGCUGAGGGCAGCUUUGCUGUGGCCUGGCCCAGCCAGACAGCCGAGCCAGGGCCUGCCCAAGUAAGUGCUUCCCUCCUCCUGUCCCCAUCUGGUGGCUUCCCAUGUCUGGGGUGUAGCAGAGCCAGAGUACUCCCAAGGCAUGGGUUCCCUAAGGUGGGUGAUCGUGACUCAGGUCCCACCUUUCUCCUACUCUCUUACCUCAAGGUAAACCCCUGCAGAGUGGAAGGGGGAGGACAUUUUAGAUGUCCUAAUAGGCUGUUCUAGACAUUUUCUAGAAUUUUCUUGUCUUCAUCCUAACGGUAUGGGCUGGAUGCUUUUGUCUUUGCUACAUUUGAGGAAGUGGAGGGCGGGAAGGUUGAAUAACUAGGGCCCAGUGCUCAGAAGUGACUGAGGCUGAGUGUUGGUAGAGGUUAGCCUACAGUGGGUCCUUUGUCAUGGUCUACUGCAGUGUUCUGUGGAGAAGGCAGUAUCCAGAACUGGAGAUCAUGCCUGAUAUCCUAAGCAUACUCCGUGGGUCCAGGCCGUCCAGCAGGCCCUAGCUAGCCUGUCAGGGGCUGGCAGAGUGAGCAGGAUGAAGCGGGGUAUUUAGAGGAAAGGGCUUGUAAGGCAAAGGUAGGGGUAUGUCAUUCACUGAGGUGUAGAUCGUUCUCUAUACACCCGUCUUCCUCCCUCCGUCAGCAAGCAUUUGUUUUCUUUCCACCUGCCGGAUGCACCAGGAUUGUGCGGGACACGUUUGUAGGCCAGGCGGGCCAAUACCUGUGACUCUCCCACGUGCACGCUGCCCUCCUGUGGUGUGUUGUGGAUACAUCCUGCUCUGUAUCUGAUCCCUUGCUGGCAUUUUAUGUUGCAGCCAGCAGAGGCCUCCGAGGUGGUGGGUGGAACCCAGGAGCCAGGGGAGACAGCAGCCAGUGAAGCGACCUCCGUAAGACGGCAGGGACCGUGCCCUGUUUUUCCUUCCCUGUUGUCUGUCUGCCCAGUGCUGUCUGUCUUCUGCCUGUCUGCAGCUUCCCUGUGUUCCUCACCCAUGCUGGUGCUGGUGCCGGGCCCAGUUCCCUGGAAGAGCACAGGGCAGGGUAGUUUGGCACAAGACAAACGAACACAACUCCUUCCUUCCUGUGGCUUUUCCCACAUGGCCAUUGGUCCAGCUGACUCAUUCCCUAUCCCCAGAGCUCUCUCCCGGCUGUGGUGGUGGAGACCUUCUCAGCAACUGUGAAUGGCGCCGUGGAGGGCAGCACUACGACUGGACGCUUGGAUCUGCCCCCGGGAUUCAUGUUCAAGGUGCAAGCCCAGCAUGAUUACACGGCCACUGACACUGACGAGCUGCAACUCAAAGCUGGCGAUGUGGUACUGGUGAUCCCCUUCCAGAACCCAGAGGAGCAGGAUGAAGGCUGGCUCAUGGGUGUGAAGGAGAGCGACUGGAAUCAGCACAAGGAACUGGAGAAAUGCCGCGGCGUCUUCCCGGAGAAUUUCACAGAGCGGGUGCAGUGACGGGAGAGCCUCUGCAGCCUUCCGGUGUGUGAAGAACCUUUCCCCAAAAGAUGUGUGCUUUUCUUUUCUUU